AAAACGUGGAAGACCAGGAGUCCUCCCAACCAGACCUCAAGGACACUGGCUGGGCUGACUGACUUCAGACUUCUCCCUGUGAAGACUUGUUCCUGAAUGUUCACUUCUGCAAACAAACUGUGACAGAGAGAGAAGACAGACUGAGCUCCUUCUCAAAGCACAUCAACAAGGGCACUUGAAUGUCAAAGCACAAUGUUUGGAGACAUGGGCCUCUCGACUGGACUUCAUGGUCAGUGGAAUGCAUAUCGUAUGCAAUGAGACUGAUGGAAAGGGCAGAUCAGAGAUAAUGUACCGGAAGAGGUCAAUGACAGCAUCAUGAAUCCAAGAAGCUUUGAAUCUCAAACAACCUAGAUGGGAGUGGAGUUGAUGUAGUCUAGACAUUUUCCUUGGAUGACUCACAAAGUAAAUCUAGUGACGACCAAAAAGAGACAUCAAGGAGGAAUUCUGGAAUUCUCUGCACUGAAGAAGAGAGAAUGUCAGGCUCUCCCAAGACGGAGGAGAUGGUGUGUCACUACACUGCUGAAUCACACACAUGAAAAACAAGCCCUCCAACCAUGUAGUAAUUACAAACACAUUGCAUGACAGUGUUCGUCAGCUCCAGCAAGUAGUCUUCGGAGAAGCAAAAUCCAGAAACUCUUCCACGGUUACAACAGGAAAGUAUUUCAGUGGUUUAAGUCACAAAUCUAAGGAAUGUAAAUGGCCAGACUAUUUAAAUUUCUAGACAGAGGAGAUUUGUAAUCAGUAAAUUUCUUACCCUCAGUUCCUCCUAGGGGCCCUCAUUUGUGUUAAUAUAAUUCUCAAUAGUAAGUCCCUUACCACUGAUAAUAUUUUCAGCAAUGCACGGCACCAACUCUAGGCUAUAAUGCAGCAGUACAAUUGGAGACGGGUACAAUCUGACCACAGAACACUGGAACAUCUCUUAAAAAUUCCAAAACAAGUUUUAAAAAACAAAUUGGAAAUUUUUCCUCUUAAAGGAUGAAGUGUCGCCACUUGGAAAGAAGCUCUGUUGACAGUAUGUUAUUACAAACAUAUUUAGCCUUCUUGGAGUAAAGCGACUGAAAAAUGAAACAAUCUGGUUAAAUCAUUAAUUCUGCAACUGUUCAGCCCACAAAAGCAAUGUUCCAACUUAAGAAUAAGUUAACAUUUAUUGAGCACAAACGAUGUACCAGGCGUUGUGGUAAGUUCUAUAGGUUGGCUGAAAAAUCUAUCAGACAUAAUUCCUGCUAUGUCAAUCUCAAGGAUACACAAUUUAAUAAUGAAAAUGAGAUGUACCUAAAGAACAAAAACAGAGGUCAGGCCAUGGUGAGGAUUCAUCUUUUUUGGGUCAAAACCUUUUCAGAUGUGAUGAAAGCCAUAGGCUCCCUCACCAGAAAAAUGCACAUACACAUACACACACUCUGAUGCUUUUGCUUGCGAUUUAAUUCUGUGUGUGGAUUUGGG
rnacentral:lncRNA from 1 species